rnacentral:rRNA from 1 species
AUUGAACGCUGGCGGCAGGCUUAACACAUGCAAGUCGAACGAGUGGCGGACGGGUGAGUAAUGCCUGGGAAACUGCCUGAUGGAGGGGGAUAACUACUGGAAACUGUAGCUAAUACCGCAUACCAUCGGAUGUGCCCAAAUGGGAUUAGGUAGUAGGUGGGGUAAAGGCUCACCUAGGCGACGAUCCCUAGCUGGUCUGAGAGGAUGACCAGCCACACUGGAACUGAGACACGGUCCAGACUCCUACGGGAGGCAGCAGUGGGGAAUAUUGCACAAUGGGGGCAAGCCUGACGCAGCCAUGCCGCGUGAAUGAAGAAGGCCUUCGGGUUGUAAAGUACUUUCAGCAGGGAGGCGUUAACCGCAGAAGAAGCACCGGCUAACUCCGUGCCAGCCGCCGCGGUAAUAC